GACGAACGCUGGCGGCGUGCUUAACACAUGCAAGUCGAACGGAAAGGCCUGCUUUCCCUUGUGGAUUGCGGGUACUCGAGUGGCGAACGGGUGAGUAACACGUGAGUGAUCUGCCCCCAACUUGGGUAUAAGCCUGGGAAACUGGGUCUAAUUCCCGACAGGACUGCAGGGUGGUGCCUGUGGUGGAAAACGAUUUUCUAGUGGUUGGGGAUGAGCUCGCGGCCUAUCAGCUUGUUGGUGGGGUAAUGGCCUACCAAGGCGGCGACGGGUAGCCGGCCUGAGAGGGUGGACGGCCACAUUGGGACGGAGAUACGGCCCAGACUCCUACGGGAGGCAGCAGUGGGGAAUAUUGCACAAUGGGCGGAAGCCUGAUGCAGCGACGCCGCGUGGGGGAUGACGGCCUUCGGGUUGUAAACUCCUUUCGACCGCGAGGAAGCCACCUGGUUGGAAGGGUGGUGACGGUAGUGGUAGAAGAAGCACCGGCUAACUACGUG
rnacentral:rRNA from 1 species